rnacentral:rRNA from 1 species
UUUAAAUGGCCGCAGUAUACUAACUGUGCAAAGGUAGCAUAAUCAUUAGUCUUUUAAUUGAAGGCUGGUAUGAAUGGUUGGACGAAAUAUUAACUGUUUCAUAAAAAUUUAUAUUAGAAUUUUAUUUUUUAGUCAAAAAGCUAAAAUUUAUUUAAAAGACGAGAAGACCCUAUAAAUCUUUAUAUUUAAUUUAUUGUGAUUAAAUAGAUUAUUUUUGUUAUAAUAAUAAAUAAUAUUUUAUUGGGGUGAUAUUAAAAUUUAAUAAACUUUUAAUUAUUUAAAUCAUUAAUUUAUGAUUAAUUGAUCCGUUAUUAACGAUUAAAAAAAUAAGUUACUUUAGGGAUAACAGCGUAAUUUUUUUGGAGAGUUCAUAUUGAUAAAAAAGAUUGCGACCUCGAUGUUGGAUUAAGAUAUAAUUUUAGGUGUAGCCGCUUAAAUUUUAAGUCUGUUCGACUUUUAA